rnacentral:rRNA from 1 species
GAUGAACGCUGGCGGCGUGCUUAACACAUGCAAGUCGAGCGAAGCAGUUAAGUUGAUUUCUUCGGAUUGAUUCUUGACUGACUGAGCGGCGGACGGGUGAGUAACGCGUGGGUGACCUGCCCCAUACCGGGGGAUAACAGCUGGAAACGGCUGCUAAUACCGCAUAAGCGCACAGAGCUGCAUGGCUCGGUGUGAAAAACUCCGGUGGUAUGGGAUGGGCCCGCGUCUGAUUAGGCAGUUGGCGGGGUAACGGCCCACCAAACCGACGAUCAGUAGCCGGCCUGAGAGGGCGACCGGCCACAUUGGGACUGAGACACGGCCCAAACUCCUACGGGAGGCAGCAGUGGGGAAUAUUGCACAAUGGGGGAAACCCUGAUGCAGCGACGCCGCGUGAGCGAAGAAGUAUUUCGGUAUGUAAAGCUCUAUCAGCAGGGAAGAUAAUGACGGUACCUGACUAAGAAGCCCCGGCUGACUACGUGCCAGCCGCCGCGGUAA